rnacentral:sRNA from 1 species
AUGGACCACUCGUACACUCCGGUUCCUGCGCGCCGUCCGCACCCACUUGACGACUGCUCGCUACGUGUUGCUAGCC